GGAUAUUCAUGUCUCAAAAAUGACCAAGUUGUGGGUAGCUGAAGGGUUUGUACAAGCAAACAACGAAAAUGGACAAGAAGAUACCGCACAAGGUUUCUUGGACGAUCUUAUUGGUAGGAAUCUGGUGAUGGCCAUGGAGAAGAGACCUAAUGCCAAGGUGAAAACGUGCCGCAUUCAUGAUUUGUUGCAUAAAUUCUGCAUGGAAAAGGC
rnacentral:misc_RNA from 1 species